rnacentral:lncRNA from 10 species
UUCAUGAGCAUGGUAGAUCCAAUGGUCUCAAAAGAUUUAUCCUGCAUUCUGCAUGCACAGGUGUUUCACACAGCAAAGCCCAGGAGCACAGGUCUUGCAGCCUCUGGAUAACCAACUCGUCUCUCACCAGUGGUUCAAAAAAGCCCAUGCUAUCCUCAUCCAAAUAAACUUAUGAAAUGCUUUACCAAAUGAUUUGUUCAGAACAGUGAAUACUAGACACAACUUUGUGUGGAACAAGAGGAGAUCCAGUAAUGACAAUACAUCUUUUGUUAGAAAGACUUACAAAGGCUGUGACAUUCUUCUUUGAAGUGUUGUCAUUGUGUUGGAUGGGAUGAAGUGGUUCUAGGACACACAAAAAAGGAUCAAGAACAUCUGAGAAGACUACAGAUAAGUCCUUACUGCUGAUUUUGGACACAGGUCAGCCAUAUGAAGAUUCAGAUGAGCAGUCUGUGCUUCCUUUGCCUUAUCUCUCAAGAGCUGAGACCUUAUUUCUAUUCCACCUUGAACAAUUUUGUUUGAGUACAACAUAUUUACUGAUAUGGUCAGCUCAAGUCAUUGUGGAAUGAAUACUUAGAUGCUGCGUUCUUCCAAAAACUGAGCAGAACCUCCCUUCUGUGAACAUUUUCAAUAGGUUGUUUUCAAGGCUGUUAAUGGAGUAGAAGUCAUUCCUGUGGCUGGCAUAUCUGAACUGCCUGCAUAUCAAUAUCUGUUGAGACAUAGCACCAAAUAAUCAUUCGAAGCCCAGAAGUGAAUAAGAACAAUCCAUUCACGCGUGGGACAUUUAUUGGAUAUCGUCUAUUUUAAAAACAUUGGCUCAUCACUCUGGGAUAUGAAUAAAAAAUUAGAGGAGAAAAGAUGAAUAUAAAAACAUAUGGUAACUGAAGAAGGACUGAAGAGCUGAUGGCAAGGAUUCUGUCUCAGGUGUUUCCAAAGGCAGAGAGAGUCUACGAGUCAAUUCCAAAGACAUGUGUUCUCCCUUCCUCCAAUUCAGCUACCACCAAGGCUCCACCUGGCCCUUUAGGGACUCACGCUCCACUUACAUUUCUGGGAGGAGAACAAAACUGGUUCUUCCUUAGGAACCAAAACAGUAACAUGGGCCCUGUGCUGAUCUGAAAGGUAUUUUUAUUUAAGGAAAAGACUUGGCUUUUUUCAUGUUAAGGUUAAAUAUUUUCUCUGGGGACUGUGAUGAACACCUCCUGAAAAGUAAAAAUCUAACGGUGUGUGUGUGUGUGUGUGUGUGUGUGUGUGUGUGUGUAGGUGUGUAGGACGUUUUCUCUAGAAUUCUAAAAUUUCUUUUCUUAGGUAAUAAUUUUCACAUUUGCUAAGUUCUGAAUGAAUCUAAACUAUUUUGCUUUGAGUUUGUCUUCCUAUUACUAAUCCAUUUUCUGCUCUAGAAGAUUUUGAAGAUAAGGUAGGUUUUGAACUUAGCCCACUGACUGCCAAGCAAUAGUCAUUUACAUGGAAAGCAAAAAAAAGAAGUUAUUGGCAUCAGAAUUGACUCAGUCAUUAAAAUAUUCCACACCUAGAUUUCUCAAAGAACUAAAAACAAAACUACUAUGUGACCCAAUCUCACUACUGGGGAUACACCCAAAGAGAAAGAAGUCAUUAUAUCAAAAAGAUGUCUGUACUCAAAUGUUUAUCACAACGCUGUUCACAAUAGCAAAGACAUGGAAGCAACUGAAGUGUUCAUCAGUGGAGGACUGGAUAAAGGAAAUGGGAUAGACUAUUCACCAUGGAAUACUUGUCCAUCCAUAGAAAAGAACAAAAUCAUGUCUUUUGCAGCAGCAUGGAUGGAACCGGAGGCCAUCGUCCUAAGUGAAAUAACUCAGAAACAGAAAGUCAAAUACCACAUGUUCUCACUUAUAAGUGAGAGCUAAACAAUGAGUACACAUGGACAUACACAGUGAGUGGAAUAAUAGACGCUGGAGUCUACAGAAGAUGGGAAGGUGGGAGGGGCUUGACAAUCGGAAAGUUACCCAUUGGGUACCAUGUUCUCUAUUCGGGUCAUAAGUUCACUAAAAGCCCAGACUUUACGUCUAUGCAAUAUAUGCCUGUAAGAAAUCCACACUUGUACUCCCUAAAGGUAUAAAAAUUAAAACUAAAUAAAUAAAUAAUUAAAUAAUCCAUACCUAAACCAUUUGCAGUGGAAGAUUUUUGCACAGUUUUAUUUUCUCGGGGUCAUUUCCUACCCUGAGUUUUGGCCAUCUGCAUAUGGUUAUGGAAUUACUGUCUCUUAGGAUGCUCUUUACUCUUUCCUGAGCUGGUGAAACCUAGGGGAAUCACUAGAAUAAACUUCACUCUCUAUUUAUGCGGAUUUGCUUCACAGGGAAUCCUUUGUAUCAACUGAGUCACUGCCAUCAAAAUAUCCAUGAGAAGUUCACAUAACCUCAUUUCCCUCUGUUAAUGUUACUGAGUAAAGCACAAGACAGGAAUAUUCUUAGAGGAUAUAUGGCUUCCUCUUAAUCAGAGCUGGCUUAGAGUGGAGAAACAGGGUCCCUGGGGACAAAGCAAGGCACUCAUGAACUCUGGCCACUGUAAGACAAACAAUGGGGAGACCUUAUUCUUAAUUUAGAUUCUAAGCAAAGGUUUUCCUGGUGACCUAGUUCCUCUGGAGCAAUCGCACUGCUCCAGUGAUGUUUUAGCGACUUGCCCUGGUACCCUGAGUUCCCACCUUGCCGCUCGUCUCACAUUUUCUUUCAGGAUAUCUGGAUUUUUCCUCUGAUUUACACAUUUCCUCUAUAAUUCUGCACAAUACCAAAAAUAAAUAUAAUUUCCUUCCUCUUAAAACUCAAUAACCAUUAGGCUAGAAGAAGAGGUACCAUUUGGCAAAAAAAAAAAAAAAAAACUCUCCAUAUCACAUCCUGCCUAGCGGUAACCUCAAACUUGAUCUCACAGUGAGGACAGCCUGAUUUUUCUCAUGCUUAGGAAAUCACCAAGCCAUGGUAACACUUUCCUGGAUGUAGCUAUUGUAGCGUACUGGGGCCCCUGAGCCAUGCAGGGUCACACAGUUUGUCUGGGGUGAGAGGUCUCAUUCAAAAUGCAUUACACCAAAUUUUCCUUUCAAUGAAGUUUUGGCUGUACCACCUCCACUGCCCCACCUGUAAAAAGAGGAAACUUCUCUUAUAAGAGAAUGAGAAAAGAGGGAAGAAGGAGGAGUGUCCAGAUGGAUAGAAGGGGAGGGGAAGGUGGUUUCUUUUUUUCUUUUCCUUUUUUUUUUUUUUUUGAGAUGGAGUCUCACUCUCUCACUCAGGCUGGACUGCAGUGGUGGUAUCACUGCAACCUCCGCCUCCCAGGUUCAAGCGAUUCUCUUGCCUCAGCCUCCCAGGUAGCUGGGAACUAAAGGCGCACGCCACCACGCCCAGCUAAGAUUUUUGUAUUUUUAGUACAGG